rnacentral:rRNA from 1 species
AUUGAACGCUGGCGGCAUGCUUUACACAUGCAAGUCGAACGGCAGCGCGGGCUUCGGCCUGGCGGCGAGUGGCGAACGGGUGAGUAAUACAUCGGAACGUGCCCAGUAGUGGGGGAUAGCUCGGCGAAAGCCGGAUUAAUACCGCAUACGACCUGAGGGUGAAAGCGGGGGAUCUUCGGACCUCGCGCUAUUGGAGCGGCCGAUGGCAGAUUAGCUAGUUGGUGGGGUAAAGGCCUACCAAGGCGACGAUCGGUAGCUGGUCUGAGAGGACGACGAGCCACAGUGGGACUGAGACACGGCCCAGACUCCGACGGGAGGCAGCAGUGGGGAAUUUUGGACAAUGGGCGAAAGCCUGAUCCAGCAAUGCCGCGUGUGUGAUGAAGGCCUUCGGGUUGUAAAGCACUUUUGGCGGGAACGAAAAGGACUGUGCCAAUACCACGGUUCGAUGACGGUAACCGCAGAAUAAGCACCGGCUAACUACGUG